rnacentral:rRNA from 1 species
UACGGAGGGGACUAGCGUUGUUCGGAAUUACUGGGCGUAAAGCGUGCGCAGGCGGUGAUGUAAGACAGGUGUGAAAUCCCCGGGCUUAACCUGGGAAUGGCAUUUGGGACUGCAAGGCUUGAGUGCGGCAGAGGAGACUGGAAUUCCUGGUGUAGCAGUGAAAUGCGUAGAUAUCAGGAGGAAUACCGAUGGCGAAGGCAGGUCUCUGGGCUGACACUGACGCUCAUGCACGAAAGCGUGGGGAGCAAACAGG